rnacentral:rRNA from 1 species
AGCGAACGCUGGCGGCAGGCCUAACGCAUGCAAGUCGAGCGCCCCGCAAGGGGAGCGGCAGACGGGAGAGUAACACGUGGGAACGUACCCUUUGGUUCGGAACAACCCAGGGAAACUUGGGCUAAUACCGAAUAAGCCCUUACGGGGAAAGAUUUAUCGCCGAAGGAUCGGCCCGCGUCUGAUUAGCUAGUUGGUGAGGUAACGGCUCACCAAGGCGACGAUCAGUAGCUGGUCUGAGAGGAUGAUCAGCCUCACUGGGACUGAGACACGGCCCAGACUCCUACGGGAGGCAGCAGUGGGGAAUAUUGGACAAUGGGCGCAAGCCUGAUCCAGCCAUGCCGCGUGGGUGAUGAAGGCUCUAGGGUUGUAAAGCCCUUUCGGCGGGGAAGAUAAUGACGGUACCCGCAGAAGAAGCCCCGGCUAACUUCGUGCCAGCAGCCGCCGUAA